UACGUAGGGUGCAAGCGUUGUCCGGAAUUAUUGGGCGUAAAGAGCUCGUAGGCGGUUCGUCGCGUCGGCUGUGAAAUCCCGAGGCUCAACCUCGGGUCUGCAGUCGAUACGGGCGGACUGGAGUUCGGCAGGGGAGACUGGAAUUCCUGGUGUAGCGGUGAAAUGCGCAGAUAUCAGGAGGAACACCGGUGGCGAAGGCGGGUCUCUGGGCCGAAACUGACGCUCAGGAGCGAAAGCGUGGGGAGCGAACAGG
rnacentral:rRNA from 1 species